UCAGAGUUUGAUCUGCUCAGGAUGAACGCUAGCGGCAGGCCUAACACAUGCAAGUCGAGGGGCAUCGGGAUUGAAGCUUGCUUCAAUUGCGGCGACCGGCGCACGGGUGCGUAACGCGUAUGUAACCUACCUAUAACAGGGGCAUAACACUGAGAAAUUGGUACUAAUUCCCCAUAAUAUUCGGAGAGGCAUCUCUCCGGGUUGAAAACUCCGGUGGUUAUAGAUUGGACAUGCGUUGUAUUAGCUAGUUGG
rnacentral:rRNA from 1 species